UUUUUUAUAAUGAUUCUACCUAAGACUCAGGUGGCGAAAGCCUUAAUAUAGUGCCUGCCGAGGAAUUUAAGUGAAAUUAACUUUUACUUUGAAAUUUUCUCUAUGUCUUGGUGGACAUAGGGUUUUUUAGUUAAGACC
rfam:Lactobacillus cacaonum DSM 21116 NODE_46, whole genome shotgun sequence.